AUUGAACGCUGGCGGCAUGUUACACAUGCAAGUCGAACGGUAACAGGGAGCUUGCUCCGCUGACGAGUGGCGAACGGGUGAGUAAUAUAUCGGAACAUACCCUAGAGUGGGGGAUAACGUAGCGAAAGUUACACUAAUACCGCAUACGAACUCAGGUUGAAAGUGGGGGAUCGCAAGACCUCAUGCUCAUGGAGUGGCCGAUAUCUGAUUAGCUAGUUGGUGAGGUAAAGGCUCACCAAGGCGACGAUCAGUAGCUGGUUUGAGAGAACGACCAGCCACACUGGGACUGAGACACGGCCCAGACUCCUACGGGAGGCAGCAGUGGGGAAUUUUGGACAAUGGGGGCAACCCUGAUCCAGCAAUGCCGCGUGAGUGAAGAAGGCCUUCGGGUUGUAAAGCUCUUUUGUCAGGGAAGAAACGGCAGUUUCUAAUACAAGCUGCUAAUGACGGUACCUGAAGAAUAAGCACCGGCUAACUACGUGCCAGCAGCCGCGGUAAUACGUAGGGUGCAAGCGUUAAUCGGAAUUACUGGGCGUAAAGCGUGCGCAGGCGGUUAUAUAAGUCAGAUGUGAAAUCCCCGGGCUCAACCUGGGAAUUGCGAUGGAGACUGCAAGGCUAGAAUCUGGCAGAGGGGGGUAGAAUUCCACGUGUAGCAGUGAAAUGCGUAGAGAUGUGGAGGAACACCGAUGGCGAAGGCAGCCCCCUGGGGUCAAGAUUGACGC
rnacentral:rRNA from 1 species